ACCGACCUGUGUUUUUCAGGGGAGGUCAGACUAGCUACAGACUGACCUGUGUUGUUCAUGGUGAGGUCAGACACGCUACAGACUGACCUGUGUUGUUCAUGUUAGACUGCAUGUGAGGUCGACUAGCUACACAACUGACCUGUGUUUGUUCAUGGUGAGGUCAGACUGCAUGGUGAGGUCAGACUAGCUACAGACUGACCUGUGUUGUUCAUGGUGAGGUCAGACUGCAUGGUAGAGGGCAGAUCGUUCAUCCUGAGGGACAGCUGCCGUUUUGAAGGGAGAUGAGUUU
ensembl:lncRNA